rnacentral:rRNA from 1 species
GAUGAACGCUAGCUACAGGCUUAACACAUGCAAGUCGAGGGGAAACGAUAUUGGAAGCUUGCUUCCGAUAGGCGUCGACCGGCGCACGGGUGAGUAACGCGUAUCCAACCUGCCCACCACUUGGGGAUAACCUUGCGAAAGUAAGACUAAUACCCAAUGACGUCUCUAGAAGACAUCUGAAAGAGAUUAAAGAUUUAUCGGUGAUGGGUGGGGAUGCGUCUGAUUAGCUUGUUGGCGGGGUAACGGCCCACCAAGGCUACGAUCAGUAGGGGUUCUGAGAGGAAGGUCCCCCACAUUGGAACUGAGACACGGUCCAAACUCCUACGGGAGGCAGCAGUGAGGAAUAUUGGUCAAUGGGCGAGAGCCUGAACCAGCCAAGUAGCGUGCAGGAUGACGGCCCUAUGGGUUGUAAACUGCUUUUAUAAGGGAAUAAGGUGAGUCUCGUGAGACUUUUUGCAUGUACCUUAUGAAUAAGGACCGGCUAAUUCCGUGCCAGCCGCCGCCGUAA